UACGGGGGGAGCAAACGUUGUUCGGAAUCACUGGGCGUAAAGGGCGAGCAGGCGGCCCGGUCAGUGGAAUGUGAAAGCUCUUGGCUCAACCAAGGAACUGCAUUCCAUACUGCCAGGCUUGAGUAUAGGAGAGGAUGGGGGAAUUCCCGGUGUAGCGGUGGAAUGCAUUGAUAUCGGGAGGAACACCAGUGGCGAAGGCGCCCAUCUGGCCUAAUACUGACGCUCAGUCGCGAAAGCUAGGGGAGCAAACAGG
rnacentral:rRNA from 1 species